rfam:Nicotiana attenuata strain TT chromosome 5, whole genome shotgun sequence.
UGGACAAAUUAUUGUAUUCGACUGUAUUCACGGCGUGAAACAGGGGAUUACACUGUUUUUAAACGGAAAGUGAAUCAAUUAACAUAAUAGACCCCU